AGAGAGAGUUAACAUCUCUUUAAUCACCAGGGGAAAAAAAAUCAGUAAUUGUGUGUUGUUGUUGUUGUUUUUCAUCAUUACAGCUUAAGAAAUCUCUUAGGCCUUAUCCUUUUCUGUCAGUUUUAGGGACCAAAAAAAAAAAAAAACCUAGUACAAUUUGUAGGGCUCAGACAACAUGAUUUUAUAUUAUUAGGUUAAAAAUUAUGUUGAUUGCAACAUAAAAAGAUAAAAAAACGUGGACUUUACAAAUGCUUAUAGAUCAAUAAAAUCAUUAAAAAUGCUUUUUCGCCGAUGAUAUUCUGAUGAUAUUUUUUUCCAAGCACAUUUUACCAAUUCCAAAUCACAUCAAUCUUAAUAAAUACUAUACAUUUGUUAUUUAAUCAUUUAUGAGUGAUAUAUAAUUGUCCUUGAAGGCUGGAAGUGAAAAACUCCUUAUAUUCAGGAGUGCUGAAUUAUUAGGCAUGUUUUUUUGCCAUGCUUUGGUCAUAGAGCUCAUUGUAGCGGUGCCUCAGGUGUUGAAAUAGAUUUGUUAUACAUUAUACAGGUUCACACGUACUCCGUCUGCAUGCGUAUACAGUAUGUGUAUGCGGUUCAGAAGCAGCAGCGAGAGCGCGUUAUUGUAACGCGAAAGCACAUUAAAAUAAUGCGCGAGCGCGAAUCUAUCCGCUCGCACGCAGAUUUCCUCUGCUUUGUCACAAAACCAGACACGCGUGCUCAGAUACAUGCUAUAGCCCGG
ensembl:lncRNA